UGGGGAAUUUUGGACAAUGGGCGAAAGCCUGAUCCAGCAAUGCCGCGUGUGUGAAGAAGGCCUUCGGGUUGUAAAGCACUUUUGUCCGGAAAGAAAUCCUUGGCUCUAAUACAGCCGGGGGAUGACGGUACCGGAAGAAUAAGCACCGGCUAACUACGUGCCAGCAGCCGCGGUAAUACGUAGGGUGCAAGCGUUAAUCGGAAUUACUGGGCGUAAAGCGUGCGCAGGCGGUUUGCUAAGACCGAUGUGAUAUCCCCGGGCUCAACCUGGGAACUGCAUUGGUGACUGGCAGGCUAGAGUAUGGCAGAGGGGGGUAGAAUUCCACGUGUAGCAGUGAAAUGCGUAGAGAUGUGGAGGAAUACCGAUGGCGAAGGCAGCCCCCUGGGCCAAUACUGACGCUCAUGCACGAAAGCGUGGGGAGCAAACAGGAUUAGAUACCCUGGUAGUCCACGCCCUAAACGAUGUCAACUAGUUGUUGGGGAUUCAUUUCCUUAGUAACGUAGCUAACGCGUGAAGUUGACCGCCUGGGGGAGUACGGUCGCAAGAUUAAAACUCAAAUGAAUUGACGGGGUCAUAGCUGUUUCCU
rnacentral:rRNA from 1 species